rnacentral:hammerhead_ribozyme from 1 species
AUCCAGCUGAAGUGUCCCAAAUAUGACGGAACGCGCGUCAAACUGGAU